rnacentral:rRNA from 1 species
AUUAGUGGCGAACGGGUGAGUAACACGUGAGUAACCUGCCCUUCACUUUGGGAUAACUCCGAGAAAUCGGGGCUAAUACCGGAUAUGACUACUGGCCGCAUGGUUGGUGGUGGAAAGUUUUUCGGUGAGGGAUGGGCUCGCGGCCUAUCAGUUUGUUGGUGAGGUAGUGGCUCACCAAGGCGAUGACGGGUAGCCGGCCUGAGAGGGCGACCGGCCACACUGGGACUGAGACACGGCCCAG